UAUUUACUCCCUUCGUCCCAAAAUUCUUGUCUUAUCUUUGUUUAGAAAUAGAAGUAUCUAAAUACUAAACUGUGACUGUAUACAUUCAUAUCUAGACAAAUGUAAGACAAAAUUUUUAAGACGGAGAGAGUAUAUA
rfam:Hordeum vulgare subsp. vulgare, WGS project CAJW01000000 data, contig: morex_contig_40220